GUUGGGUAGGGGAGCGUUCUGUAAGCCGUUGAAGGUGUGUCGUGAGGCAUGCUGGAGGUAUCAGAAGUGCGAAUGCUGACAUAAGUAACGAUAAAGCGGGUGAAAAGCCCGCUCGCCGGAAGACCAAGGGUUCCUGUCCAACGUUAAUCGGGGCAGGGUGAGUCGACCCCUAAGGCGAGGCCGAAAGGCGUAGUCGAUGGGAAACGGGUUAAUAUUCCCGUACUUGGUGUUACUGCGAAGGGGGGACGGAGAAGGCUAUGUUGGCCGGGCGACGGUUGUCCCGGUUUAAGCGUGCAGGUGUGUGUUCCAGGUAAAUCCGGUUCACUUUAACACUGAGGCGUGACGACGAGGCACCACGGUGCUGAAGCAACAAAUGCCCUGCUUCCAGGAAAAGCCUCUAAGCCUCAGGUAACAUCAAAUCGUACCCCAAACCGACACAGGUGGUCAGGUAGAGAAUACCAAGGCGCUUGAGAGAACUCGGGUGAAGGAACUAGGCAAAAUGGUGCCGUAACUUCGGGAGAAGGCACGCUGACACGUAGGUGAAGUGGUUUACCCAUGGAGCUGAAGUCAGUCGAAGAUACCAGCUGGCUGCAACUGUUUAUUAAAAACACAGCACUGUGCAAACACGAAAGUGGACGUAUACGGUGUGACGCCUGCCCGGUGCCGGAAGGUUAAUUGAUGGGGUCAGCGCAAGCGAAGCUCCUGAUCGAAGCCCCGGUAAACGGCGGCCGUAACUAUAACGGUCCUAAGGUAGCGAAAUUCCUUGUCGGGUAAGUUCCGACCUGCACGAAUGGCGUAAUGAUGGCCAGGCUGUCUCCACCCGGGACUCAGUGAAAUUGAACUCGCUGUGAAGAUGCAGUGUACCCGCGGCAAGACGGAAAGACCCCGUGAACCUUUACUAUAGCUUGACACUGAACACUGGUCCUUGAUGUGCAGGAUAGGUGGGAGGCUUUGAAGUGUGGACGCCAGUCUGCAUGGAGCCAUCCUUGAAAUACCACCCUUUAAUGGCUGGUGUUCUAACGUGGGCCCGUGAACCGGGUUGCGGACAGUGUCUGGUGGGUAGUUUGACUGGGGCGGUCUCCUCCUAAAGAGUAACGGAGGAGCACGAAGGUUGGCUAAUCCUGGUCGGACAUCAGGAGGUUAGUGCAAUGGCAUAAGCCAGCUUGACUGCGAGCGUGACGGCGCGAGCAGGUGCGAAAGCAGGUCAUAGUGAUCCGGUGGUUCUGAAUGGAAGGGCCAUCGCUCAACGGAUAAAAGGUACUCCGGGGAUAACAGGCUGAUACCGCCCAAGAGUUCAUAUCGACGGCGGUGUUUGGCACCUCGAUGUCGGCUCAUCACAUCCUGGGGCUGAAGUAGGUCCCAAGGGUAUGGCUGUUCGCCAUUUAAAGUGGUACGCGAGCUGGGUUUAGAACGUCGUGAGACAGUUCGGUCCCUAUCUGCCGUGGGCGCUGGAAGAUUGAGGGGGGCUGCUCCUAGUACGAGAGGACCGGAGUGGACGCAUCACUGGUGUUCGGGUUGUCAUGCCAAUGGCACUGCCCGGUAGCUACAUGCGGAAGAGAUAAGUGCUGAAAGCAUCUAAGCACGAAACUUGCCCCGAGAUGAAUCUUCCCUGAGCCUUUAAGGCUCCUGAAGGAACGUUGAAGACGACGACGUUGAUAGGCCGGGUGUGUAAGCGCAGCGAUGCGUUGAGCUAACCGGUACUAAUGAACCGUGAGGCUUAACCUUACAACGCCGAAG
rnacentral:rRNA from 1 species